ACCUGGAUGGUAUAGCCUACUACACACCUAGGCUAUAUGGUACUAAUCUUAUGAGACCACUGUCGUACGUGCAGUCCAUCACUGACCAAAAUGUCCAUAUGUGUCGCAUGACUGUGUUCAGAGAAAAG